rnacentral:lncRNA from 1 species
CUGGCAUUGAGAACUCAGCAAUGGGCAGUAAAAGGUUAACUUCUCUUAGACUCAUAUUCUGUAGGUAAGAGAGACCCAAGAAGAAUUGGGUGUAUCCAUCAGCAUUCUUAGUUGCAGACAGCAGUCUCUUCUGAGGCUCGUUUAAACACAAAGAGAUUUAAUGAGGCUAUAGGAAGCUCAGGGAAUCACAAGGACUGAGGAAGCAGACAUACACUGAGUUUCCUCACCACAGCCACACUGCAGAACUGAGCCCGCAGAGAAGCUGCAGCCUCCAGCAACAAGCAGGAAACUACACUAUCCGGAAGCUUCCACCACAGUGAGCGACUCAGGGACAUGCUCCUUGUGCAACAAUCAGGAGCCACAUUAUCUGGAAUCCUCUGCCACACCGGACGGCUCUGACAUUGUGCCUUCUCUGCCAUAAUCUAUUUGAGCAAAAUUGCUCCUCAUGCUCUGUGUCUCUCCCCACAUAACUGAGUUCCAAAUUAAAUUCUGUGAGAGCUUCUGAUUGGUGACUAUUAAAUCACAAGAGAAGCCCGUCGCCAAGGAAACCUUGGAAAAGUAGAUUAUAGCUCUCCCAUCUCUAAGUACAGGAGGCACAUCAGAAAGGGGUCACACUGAGUACUGGGCAACACAAUCCGUGGUAUCUGACAAAAGUGGAAAUGUUACGACAGCCAAUGGAGCCCUCCGUGAACCAGACCACCUCCAGCUAAUGGAUCCAGGAAGAACCCAGAGGUGUGAGUUCUGGGGCUUCUUGAAUCUUUUGGUAGACUCUACAAGCAGCAGUCAGGGGUAAAGUGUCAGGGAGCACCGUGAAGGGGAAAAAUAGGAACCAGGGGUAGUACAGGUCUUGGUGCAGUCUGAUUCUCCACCCAUUGAGGACUACCUCCUGCGGGUGGUCCCCAG